AAUAUUAGAGACGAUUUC
rnacentral:snRNA from 1 species